rnacentral:lncRNA from 1 species
CCCAGCUGCAGGCUCCGAGCUGGUUUAUUCUGCGGCCGAGGAUUACAUUUAUGCACGAACGGUCUUACUGGCUCCAGAUUCCCCACUUGGGCACAGGCAUAGGAGGCUUGUUUUCCAAAUUGCUGGUUUUAAUUGCACCUGCCUUUCAGAUUACCUCUGGGAAUCUGUGGGAGGAGCCGAGAGGGUGGAAAAUGUUUCUUCGCUUUGCAAAAGGAAGAAAACUUUGUCACCCAGCGGGAGACCUCAGCCACGAGUAACCCGGGGAGACACCAGAACCGGGACGGGCUUUGACUGAUUUGCCUGCGAGGGUUCCGUAGGAAAGGACGCUUGAACUCGGCGCUUCGGCGGCGGCGGCGGCGCGAGUUCCCUGCUCACCCUCCCUCUCCGCGGAAGUCCCCACGAGGUGGCUUCAGGGUGUAACAGAGCGCGCGGCUCCAGUCCGAAGGCAGCGGCCGGGGGAGGGAAGGAGGGGACCGAACCCCCGAGGAGUUUCCCAGAAUCAACUUCUGGUUAGAGUUAUGGGAAGCGCGGUUAUGGACACCAAGAAGAAAAAAGAUGUUUCCAGCCCCGGCGGGAGCGGCGGCAAGAAAAAUGCCAGCCAGAAGAGGCGUUCGCUGCGCGUGCACAUUCCGCAAGUUCCUAGGUUGACAAGGACGCUGCUGGUCCGGGAACCACGCUCUGAG